rnacentral:rRNA from 1 species
CCUACGGGAGGCAGCAGUGAGGAAUAUUGGUCAAUGGGCGCGAGCCUGAACCAGCCAAGUAGCGUGAAGGAUGACUGCCCUACGGGUUGUAAACUUCUUUUAUAAAGGAAUAAAGUGAGGCACGUGUGCCUUUUUGUAUGUGUUUUAUGAAUAAGGAUCGGCUAACUCCGUGACAGCAGCCGCGGUAAGACGGAGGAUCCGAGCGUUAUCCGGAGUUAGUGGGUUUAAAGGGAGCGUAGAUGGGUGGUUAAGUCAGUUGUGUAAGUUUGCGGCUCAACCGUAAAAUUGCAAUUGAUACUGGCAGCCUUGAGUACAGUUGAGGUAGGCGGAAUUCGUGGUGUAGCGGUGAAAUGCUUAGAUAGCACGAAGAACUCCGAUUGCGAAGGCAGCCUACUAAACUGCCACUGACAUUGAUGCUCGAAAGUGUGGGUAUCAAACAGGAGUAGAUACCCGGGUAGUC